CAUCUGCUCACCGGGUAGAAAGCCCAGAGCUCCUGCGGAGGAGCUGCUGGGCCGUUCGGACUAUUGACGGAGCAGAUUGCCGUCCGACACUGACCAUGACACCGCCAGGGCUCCUCGGGACCAGAAAAGUCAUCAACACCAGCUAACGUCACUUGCCUCACCAAAGAAUAGCAGUUACUUUAAGAGUCAGUCCCAGCAGUGCUGGACUGCUAAUCUCAAGGAUGGCUGUUCGAGCCCACACCACUGCUCUGGAGGAAAAUGCAACGAGCUCCGGAUAGAAUUGCAGCCUCCGGGAGCUGGAAUCGACUCAGGGGCAAGAAAAACAGAGAACGCCAGGGUCAUUCAAUAGAAUGUUCUAGAUCUGUCAGAAGUGGUGAGGCUGACAGCAGACGAACCAGAGCCUGUGUCAGAGACUGGGGUAGAGCAAGAGGAGCAGUGGCAAUCCCAGGGGACUGUGAAACAGGACGACAGGAGGGCUUCCUGGUCUACACAAACCAACAGAGGCUGCGGCUGAGGCUGAAGACCAGAGAAGAACUUUGUUGGUGGCUGAAGAGAGCUAUUGCUGUGGGCUGAUGGUCACAAACUUAUUUACUCAUCCUGAUAUUUGGUAGUUAACUUACCUAAUAAAACCCCUGAAUCGUGA